ensembl:ncRNA lncRNA:CR44299 long non-coding RNA:CR44299
GCAGUGUGGCCUUUGAUCGGUGCCAUGCGGGAUUUUCGGUGAGCGCGGCAUGCGGCCACACUGCUGCCCAAACAGCUGUUCGAAAUUGGAAAACAACAAAUUCUAGAAAAUCUAUUUUUAUCUCAAAUUUCUAUUCUUACUUGAUUUAUUGCGCAAAAACAUUACUUUCACAACAAUGUUCUAAUGUUAUUUUAUUUCUUUUUUUAGAAGUGAUCAUUUGCUUAUAACAGUGCCUUUCAAAAGUUGUGUUUCGAUUGCGUUAAAAAUCACAUCCUGGGAAUCGAAACAAAGUCUUCAUUCAGAGAGCUCUGCUCCUACCAGCAAAUUGCAGCAAUAAAAUUGAAGAAAUGUCCAAUGGGACUGUGAAAAACGGAUGGGCAAGUGGAAAGGGAAAUGGCAGAAGGAUGAUGGCGAGGACGAGGACGAACCCACUGCCAGUCUGUUUGCUCCUGUCAACUUUCAUUCGCAGCCGCCCGUUGAUUACAGAGCUCCAUUUGAGUCAAGCGCCCCCAUAUUUUCCGCACUUCCCCCGCAGAAAUUCGAAGUCAAGCGGAAUAACAACAACAACAACAACAUCAACACUUGCCGCAGGAUUUUGGGAGGCUGGCGUAAAAAAGUGGGUGGUCCAACCGGUCCUCUUGUUCCUGAUGAUGAUGACUGCAGAAGCGAUAAUGACGUAGCCCCUUCAUUAUUCGCAGGCGAAAGUGUCGCCGAGUCCAUAAUGAGCACCAGAAAUUCGCGUGGCACGAUAAGUGACAAACGGUCGGGAAAUAGGGGAACGGAACGAGGGGUCAUUAUCCAAAAAGGAUGGGAGCCAGUGCAUCCAAAAUUCAAGCGGAGCUGUGGGAUCAUAUGGCGAACAAUUUCUCAACUUCUGUCAGAAACAUUAAAGUUCAAGAGAAUUUGUAAUGAAAACGCCGAAUAAGGAAAAACCAGUACAAAUCGCAUUUGAUGGAUUUUCGAUAAAUAAAAUGAAAACUCUCAUAUGUAUGCCUCAUAAUUUUCGAUAUAUAUGUAUAUAGUGAACAAAAGUAUUUAAAAUUUGUUCAGCCGAACACAGAAAUUCCUGCAAAAGUUAACCUUUUGAUGGCCAAACUUUGCGUCCCUAAAUGAAAUCUGGUUAUUUUGGGAAUAUCCCAAAAGCCCGAGACAGCUAUUUUUGUUAAUCGACCCACGGGCCCUGUAAUCCCGUUUCAAAUUUUCCAUAAGCCUGGGACUUUAAGUCAUUCCAGGUUCCUUUCAACGGAGUCACCUGACCAGCUUGUAAGCAGACUAAGCAAUCAAAGGACACUGGACGACAAAAGAAAGGACCGGCUCCUGGUCAUCGUACAUUGGACAGUGGACGUGGGACAUCGGCCAUCCCAUCAACACAACUAAUCCCCGGCAUUCACCGAAUGAUGGACACAUCUGAUGGAUACCCCAUCCACGACACUCCGCACUUCAUUUCCUCGGCAAUCCCAGCCUCUCCGUUGUUUCACUUUUUCAUGUCUGAUUACGGCUCUGGGCGUACACUGAGAGAAUAA